CAAUAGCGUAUAUUUAAGUUGCUGCAGUUAAAAAGCUCGUAGUUGGAUUUCGGGUGGGAAUGGCCGGUCCGCCGUUUCGGUGUGCACUUGCUACGCCCACCUUGCUGCCGGGGACGUGCUCUUGAGUUCACGCUCGGGACACGGAGUCGGCGAGGUUACUUUGAGUAAAUUAGAGUGUUCAAAGCAGGCCUACGCUCUGAAUACAUUAGCAUGGAAUAACACGAUAGGACUCUGGCCUAUCUUGUUGGUCUGUAGGACCGGAGUAAUGAUUAAGAGGGACAGUCGGGGGCAUUCGUAUUUCAUUGUCAGAGGUGAAAUUCUUGGAUUUAUGAAAGACGAACUACUGCGAAAGCAUUUGCCAAGGAUGUUAUCAUUAA
rnacentral:rRNA from 1 species